CAAUAGCGUAUAUUAAUGUUGUUGCAGUUAAAAAGCUCGUAGUUGGAUUUCUGUUGCUCCCGACCGGUCCGCCUCGCAAGAGGUGCGCACUAGCGUCGUUUGGAGCGGCUUCCUCGUCGAGAGCGGGUCUGGCAUUAAGUUGUCGGGCCCGGGAUCGGCGUCGUUUACUGUGAAAAAAUUAGAGUGUUUAAAGCAGGCGUUUGCUGUGAAUACAUUAGCAUGGAAUAAUAAGAUAGGACUUUGGUGCUAUUUUGUUGGUUUGCACACCAAGGUAAUGAUUAACAGGGACAGUUGGGGGUAUUCAUAUUUAAUUGUCAGAGGUGAAAUUCUUGGAUUUAUGAAAGAUGAACCUAUGCGAAAGCAUUUACCAAGGAUGUUUUCAUUAAUCAAGAACGAAAGUUAGGGAUCGAAGACGAUCAGAUACCAU
rnacentral:rRNA from 1 species